UGGAUCAGAUUCAGCCAGGCUGAUGCCCA
rnacentral:sRNA from 1 species